AAGGGUUUUAGGGGAGACUUGGGAUUUAAUGAUCAACCUUCUUUCGGGGAGGUGUACUCGUUAUUUUCUGGGCCAGUAUGGGUUUAGACAGUGGGAUAAAAGUUUAAGAAUGUGGCCACACUCGUGUGGUGUUAUAGCUUAUUCCAAUACCACUCGUUUGGACCAAGGAACGCGAUUUUCUAGGAUACUGGCGUAAUCCCCUUAAACCA
rnacentral:rRNA from 1 species